rnacentral:ncRNA from 2 species
UAUGUUUGCAGCCGCAAUGGUUCAACUGCACUUUUCGGUGUUGUUGACGAAGAGGGAAUCAGGUGAAAAUCCUGAACAAACCCGUUACUGUAAGUUCCAUGCAACAUUUUGACAGCCCCGAUGCUCACGGAGUUCUUCGAGGUUUAUCUUUUGCCACUGCAUCUGUUAGAUGCGGGAAGGCCGUUCAAAAUGGGAAUAAGUCAGGAUACCUGCCAAUGCGUACAAUUUUAA